UACGAGUGCCUCGAGCGUUAUCCGGAAUCAUUGGGUUUAAAGGGUCCGUAGGCGGCCCCGUAAGUCAGUGGUGAAAUCUCCCGGCUCAACCGGGAAAUUGCCAUUGAUACUGCAGGGCUUGAAUUAUUGGGAAGUAACUAGAAUAUGUAGUGUAGCGGUGAAAUGCUUAGAUAUUACAUGGAAUACCGAUUGCGAAGGCAGGUUACUAUCAAUACAUUGACGCUGAUGGACGAAAGCGUGGGUAGCGAACAGG
rnacentral:rRNA from 1 species